rnacentral:rRNA from 1 species
CUACGGGUGGCAGCAGUGGGGGAUAUUGCACAAUGGGGGGAACCCUGAUGCAGCGACGCCGCGGGGGUGAAGAAGCGCCUCGGCGCGUAAAGCCCUGUCAGCAGGGAAGAAAAUGACGGUACCUGAAGAAGAAGCCCCGGCUAACUACGUGCCAGCAGCAGCGGUCAUACGUAGGGGGCAAGCGUUAUCCGGAUUUACUGGGUGUAAAGGGGGCGCAGACGGCGAUGCAAGCCAGGAGUGAAAGCCCGGGGCCCAACCCCGGGACUGCUCUUGGAACUGCGUGGCUGGAGUGGAGGAGGGGCAGGCGGAAUUCCUGGUGUAGCGGUGAAAUGCGUAGAUAUCAGGAGGAACACCGGUGGCGAAGGCGGCCUGCUGGACUGCAACUGACGUUGAGGCCCGAAAGCGUGGGGAGCGAACAGGAUUAGAUACCCCUGUAGUC